UUACUUACGGAUCUUAAAAACAUAAUUUUCUCAUUUCCUACCUACAAAUUACUUUCACAACUCUCACUAAAAUCUAUAUCACAAACAGCAAGUCCCAUCCUGUUCCUCCAUGCAUCUGAUAUUGGCAGAUACUGAAGUUGACUAGUCUCUUUGGGGCUACCAUUGACUUAGAAAAAGGAGAAAAGAAAGAAGGAAAGAACAGAAGAAAUUAAAAGAAACCCAUUUUCCUACCUUUUUCCUUGACAAAUUGACAAUCAAAUUCUUCUCUCCCUCAUUACUCCAAAAGCAUAACUCAAAACCCCGCUCUAACUCAAACUCCACUCUCCCUCGCCCUCCAUGUCCCUCGUGAUGAGUUUAAUAAUCCUCGUCCUCUUCUUACCUUAUACAUGUACAUUAGCCAAAGCUUCUGCGGAAGACAACAAGACAGAUAAAUAUGAAUUCUGUCAACCAACAAGAUGCAGUAAUAGGAGCCCAAGUAUCAGAUAUCCCUUCAGACUCAAAACUCAACCAAUAUCUUGUGGCCUUGAAGGGUUUGAAUUGUCAUGCUUAAGUGACAAGACAAUCUGGCAUCUUCCUUCCUCUGGUGAUUAUUAUGUCCAUGAAAUUUCUUAUCUAGAUAGCAGUAUUAACAUUACAGAUGUGAAUGAGACUGCAUGCCCGUUUCAAAGUCUUAUCUCAUUCAACCUCACAAGCUCCAAAUUCUUUUUUCUUCCCUUUAAUGACAGUUACGCUUUAUAUAACUGCACUGAGAAGGCUGCUUCAGAACGGACUCCUUUUGAAGCAAUUGGACCGAUCAAUUGUCUCGGCAGCGAAAACAAUCUUGUGUAUAUCAUAUAUAGCGAAUAUUUAAUGGAGGAAAUGCCUCCAUCUUGCAGAAAAUCGCGAACAGUUGAGAUUCCUGGUGGAUUACCUCUGCAGGAUGUUGCUACGACGGCCAGGGCAAGACCAGUAGUCUUAGGAUGGGAAGCUCUUGAUGGAUGCUACCACUGCGAAAAUUCAGGGAAUUAUUGUGGGUUCAACACUACAAGCAAUUCGACAAUCUGCGUUUAUUGUGGGUUCAAUACUACAAGCAAUUCGACAAUCUGCGUUGCCGUUAAACACCAAAAACGUAAGUAGCCAUACUUUUCCUCAGUCACCUCUCUCUACAGUGCUUGAAAGUGAAAGCAUCGUCUCUAUUUAGCUAACAAUAAAAAUAAUAAGUUGAAUUUAUUAUCAUUGUUUUAUACGCCGGAAAAGUGAUCAGAGCAGUAUAAAUGAAAAAAAAAAAAAAAUAAUUAGGCUUUGCAUUAUUUUUUUCGAUUGUAAAAGUGUAAGUACAAUUGCUAGAAAGUCAAAAAUUAAAGAAGCCAUCUAUAUUAAUAGGGGUGGGCACUGAGCAAAGGUUAGAUAUAGUUGAAUUCCGAUGGUCAGUUUUUCAAAAAAAUAAUAAUUUGAACUGAACUGAAAGUCCAAUCAAUUUGGUUCAAUUUAGUUAGGGUUUUUUUUUUUUAAUUUGCCCUGUAAUUUCUUUUGCGUUUUUCUAGUUUUUUUGAUUUUUUAUUUUCUCUCAUGUAAAUCGAUGGAUUUUUUUUUUACUAAAAAAAACUGACGAUUCCUUUUUUUGGCGGCAAAUAUAAUUUUACCCACCCCUAAUCUGUAUGGCGAAUAUUAUUGCUAUAAAGGCUGCAUUCCAGUAUUAUUGCCGGUUGUAGAGUGGUCGAUAAAAUGUUGCUAGCCAGGCUGAUUUGACUCUUUGAACAAAAAUUGAUAGUACUCAGGACCAAAUAGAUAGUACUAUUUUUAUGUAUCUCGUCAAUUUAAUCUUGAAUCUUUACAUUACAAUUAAUUUUUGUUAAUGGUGAGAGAUUGAUUAAACUUACAAUGCCUUAUAAAAGUUUAAUCUAUUAUAUUUUCUUGCGUCCUCAAUGAAUACAAAUUAAGAAGAAUUAUUAUACUACUACUUUUUCUCUAUGAUUGUCUUUGUCAACUUUUUAUGUAAGAGCCAAUAUACGUUCAUGAUGCCAAAUUUGUUGAGAAAAAAAAUUUGUUUAAUCAACUGACCCUCAAUAUUCACAUGGAAUAAGAGAUGAGGGAAAAAAAAUCAUUUUUUGAAUGCAGAAAGGCAAAAAAAAUGCAUAAUGACAGGGAUUUCUAAUUGUGAUCAUUUUGGUGUUUUCAUUGUGUACUUGAGUAAAAGUUAAAAUUUUAAAAUUGAAGUGUGUAAGGUUAAAGAGUGCUUACUUUGCAGUUCAAAUAAUUUCAUCUUCUGCUUAUUAGUAUUUUUUCAUUAUUUAGUUAAAUGACAACCUAAUUAUCUAUCCACCCAUGUGAAUAAGAUAUAUAAUUAUCAUUUAAGUUAUGGACAAAUACCUAUAUGAGAUGGUCACAUGAGAGGGACUUGUUAAAACCCAAUCAAAUAAUAUUGAGUCUUUAUGCUACCAAGUUAAGCUUGCACGGGUCCAAACUUUUAGCAUCUCAUUUUAUUGUUUGAGUUGAUUUUUUAACUAACUUUUAGCAUCUCAUUUUAUUGUAACAGAUGGUCCUGGCCCUUUAUCUAUAAGUCUAAUAUCCACAGGCACAAGCAUUGGAGGCAUCACCCUCUUUGCGUUAGUGAUAUUUCUCAUUUACAGAUCAAGAGAAUCUGAAAAAGAAAAAGAGACUCAACUGAAGGUGGAGAAGUUCCUCGAAAACUACAGGACCGUCAAUCCCACCAGAUAUACUUACAAAGAACUGAAGAAAAUAACAAGCAGAUUUAAGCACAGGCUCGGUCAGGGAGGUUACGGAAGCGUGUUCAGAGGAAAACUCUUCAACGGAAUUCCAGUUGCUGUCAAGAUGUUGGAACAUUUGAAAGGAAAUGGACAAGAGUUCAUCAAUGAAGUGGCCACAAUUGGCAGGAUUCACCACUUCCACAUUGUUUGGCUUCUGGGAUUUUGCUCUGAAGGAAACAGGCGUGCUCUUAUUUACGAGUUUAUGCCCAAUGGAUCACUUGAGAAAUUCAUCUUCUCAAAGACAAAUAGCUCAAGUCAUCGUCAAUUGAGUUGGGAGAAGCUGAGGAAGAUUGCAUUUGGCGUUGCCCGUGGAGUGGAGUACUUGCACCAAGGAUGCAACCAAAGGAUCCUGCACUUCGAUAUCAAGCCUCACAAUAUAUUAUUAGACCAUAAUUUUCAACCGAAGAUUUCAGAUUUUGGACUGGCUAAGUUGUGCUCAAAGGACAUAAGCAUUGUAUCUCUGACAGCUGCCAGAGGCACUUCUGGCUACAUUGCACCUGAACUUUUCUCCAGGAAUUUUGGUGAGAUCUCUUACAAGUCUGAUGUUUACAGUUAUGGAAUGAUGCUGUUAGAGAUGGUCGGAUGCAGAAAAAAUAACGAUCCUGCGGUUGAAAUUCAGAGCCAAAUAUAUUUCCCAGAGUGGAUUUACAAUAGAAUGAGGCAAGGACAAGAGCUCUGUUUCGAUUUUGAGGAAGAUGGGGAUGAGGGAAUUGCCAGAAAGCUUGCAAUUGUGGCACUUUGGUGCAUUCAGUGGAAUCCCACGGAGAGACCUUCCAUGCCAAUUGUAUUACAAAUGCUUGAAGCUGAUUUACAAAGCUUGGAGAUCCCUCCAAUGCCCUUUGUUUCUGCUGAUGUUGAGGCAGGUGCAAUCAAUUGAUCUAGAUAGCAGAAGAUUACAAUUAAAAAGGGAUAUUGUUAAUUUGUUUCAAAUUUUCCCCGAUUAUAAGCUAAAUUAUUUAGUCCUUAUUGUUAUUGGAACGCUUGAAAACCACUAAAUUGAGUUUUUGUUUGACUGUGGUUGUUUUAUUUAUCGCUUAAAAUCUUUGAUGUGUUCGAAUGAUACAACAUUAAUACAACUAUGGAGGAACUUUAGUCUAUUUUUAAACACAUCAUUAAAAAAAAAAUUAAGCAUAACUAUCGCUGAAAGAGCAUUCCUUCAUUGAUAGGCUUAUAGUUCCCAAGGAGGGUAGUUGGCAGAAACUCCAUGAGCUAGGUUGCUUUAGAAAAGGCUCGCGGGAUCGAGUAUUUACAGAACGGAUGUGAUGUGUGCAGUCUUCAUUUCAACAUUUAAGUCUCACAACAUCCUGCUAGAUCCUAAUUCCUUCCCCAAGGUCUCAGAGUUCGACCCUUGCAAAAUUUCAUCUCAAGGAAAAUGAUUUUGCUCCCAUCAGCGCCACAGGAGGAACAAUAUAUAGGUUAAAAUAUUACCUGAGCUAUGACUAAGGCGCUGAUCGCUCCUCUGUGACAAAAAGUUUUGGAAAUUUUAGAAGGGAGCAUUGACGAUUUGCAAAUGCCUCCAAAACCUUUCUCAUCUUCUUCUCGACAUAUAUCUGGAUGAGAGAUUGAAUCAGAUUCUUCAACAGAGUUGUUAAUGUCUGAAUCAGUGAAGGAAUGAUCUUUCGGUGAUAUUUAGGUUUAAUUUUGCCAAUGAUGAAUGUAAAAUGAAUAAAUGAAUAACGUGCAAUUAAUGACAAAUGUUUUUCUUCUUCUCAUUGCUUUAUCUCGAAUUAGAGCCUAAUGCACACACGUUUCGAGUGAUAGAUAAUUUAGUUGUUGAAAUCUUUUGAGUUGAUACAACAAGUUUGAGAUUUGAAUAUGUCCAUAUGGGUGGCAAAAGAAUUUAAUUAGAGGUGUGCUAAGCUUAACUUAAAACUCUUAGGUGGCCACUUGGGCUUGUAGCCCAGUGGUGAACCAUUACCCUUAAAGUUAAUCAUGACUAUGAGGGUAAUGGUUUGAGUCCACACGGACUCAAAAACUCCCUCAAUAUUAAGCAUAAUUGUGUGGAGAUUACUUAUAACGUCUUUCUCCCUUGCAAAAUGCGAGUGGAGUAGAGACAUCCCUCCCCCGUGAGGGGUAUUUGGCUGGACAUGUAUUUCGGAGAAUAAAAAAUGUAAUAAUGUAAGUCCCAGGUAUAUAAUGACCUGCUAUCAUAGCAGUUGUAAAUAUCUCUAUGACCUGGCUGGGCAUGUACGUCAUAGAAUAAAAAAUGUAAUAAUAUAAGUCCCAUGUAUAUAAUAGUUAAGAAUGAUGAGUUUGUUUGUUUACUAAGAAAAUGAAAGGAAAAAUCAGAGAAACAGAGAAGAGAAAACUUAUAUUUUAUUCAUUGUAUAUUUCGAUUAGUUACACACGUUUAUAUACUAUGAUCUGGAAUCUUCUUCAUUCUGUUUACACAUGCUAGAUUAGCUGAGCUAGUAACUGAAACUAACUUGCCACAUAAGCAGCCAUGUCAGCAUGUAUAACAGACUCUGUUUAACUAACAAUAUUAAUCAGCAUGUGAUUAAUUAAUUAUCUUAACAGCCUCCCUCAAGCUCAAGGUCGUGAUAACACAUUGAGCUUGGACCUUAGAUAAUUGAAUUGAUCAAAUGCUAAAGGUUUUGUAAAGAUAUCUGCCACUUGAUAAUAGCUGGGAACAUGACUAAUCUGAAGUUCUUUCUGGGCUAUAUGAUCUCGAAUGAAAUGUAGAUCUAACUUAAUGUGUUUGGUUCUGGAGUGAUACUUGGGAUUGCUUGCCAAAGCUUCUGCACUCUUAUUAUCACAAUAGAUAACUGGAGUCUGUAACAGAGAUACUUUCAACUCUGUCAGCAAGUAAGUGAUCUACAAAGUUUCAGAGACUGCCAAGGCUAAUGCCCUAUAUUCUGACUCAGCUGUGCUCCUUGAAACUAUAGGUUGUUUCUUAGAUGACCAUGAGAUCAGAUUAUUACCCAGAUAUACGCAAUAUCCCCCAAUCGACUUCCUAUCAUCCAAAUCUGAGCCCCAAUCAGCAUCUGAGAAGGCUGAGAUUGUAAGAGAACCAGAGACAUAAAACUGUAAACCAAGGUCAGUUGUGCAUUGCAAAUAUCUCAAGACCCUUUUACAUGUCUGCCAAUGAAACACUGAUGAAUUUACAAGAAACUGGCUCAACUUAUUCACUGUGAAGACAAUUUCAGGUCUAGUAAGAGUAAGAUACUGUAAUGAGCCAACUAUACUUCUAUAGAGAGAGGGAUUUUCAAAAGCAGUACCCUUGUCUUUAACUAACUUCUCUGUAGAACUCAUGGGAGUUGAUCAACCUUUGCUCUCAAUCAUCUGAGCUUUCUUGAGGACAUCCCAUAUAUAUUUCGUUUGAGAAAGAUGUAAACCUUCAACUGAAGGUGUAACCUCAAGACCAAGAAAGUAGUUGAAAUCCCCAAUAUCCUUCAAAGCAAACUCUGAACUUAAAUGAUGAAUAACUCUUUCAACAAGCUGGACAUUAGAACCAGUCACCAAAAUAUCAUCCACAUAAACUAAAAUGACAACUAUAUCUUCUGCUUUGUGAAGAAUAAACAAAGAGGUGUCAGAUUCUGAAGCAAUGAAACCCCAAUUCAGCAGAGAAAGUUUCAACCUGUCAUACCAAGCUCUUGGAGCUUGCUUAAGACCAUAGAGAGCUUUGGUAAGCUUGCAGACAUGAGAUGGAAAUUGAGGAUGAAUAAAACCUUCAGGCUGAUGCAUGAAGACUUCUUCAGUAAGGAUGCCAUUAAGAAAGGCAUUAUUGAUGUCCAGUUGUCGAAUUGGCCAGUGAUACAUGACAACAAGACUCAGAAUGAUUCUUAUUGUGCAAGGCUUUACAAUUGGACUGAAUGUUUCAAAGAAAUCUACCCCUUGUGUUUGAUGGAAACCUUUGGCCACCAGCCUUACUUUAUACUUAGAUAUACUAUUAUCAGGAUUAUACUUCACCCUGAACACCCAUUUGUUUCCAAUAAUUUUUCCAGCUUCUUCUCUGGGAACAAGAAUCCAGGUGCUAUUUUUCUGCAAGGCAUCAAAUUCAGCUUGCAUAGCUUGUUUCCAUUUAAAAUCAGCCAAUGCUGCUUUAACUGAAUGUGGUUCAAGGUGUUGAGUCACAACCAAGUAAGUUUUGUGCUUAAACACACCAGCUUUGGAUCUGGUGAGCAUAAGAUGAAUAUUUUGAACUGGUUGAAGUGCAGAGUUAGAUACUGGUAGCACUUGUUCUGAUGGCAACUGAAUAGAAGGGGAUAGUUGUUGUGGUGUACUAUAUAAGGAAGAGGUGUCUGAAGAAUGAGAUGGGGAUAUUGUCUGUAAGGUACCUGAAUCAGGGCCUGCAUUUUGAGUUGGAGGAUUGAGAGAAGAUUGUGCACAGUUACUGUCAGUGAGUAGGAUUGUGGAAGAAAUGAAUGGAACAGAAAAAUGACCUUGCUGAACUGAGGACACAUUUUGACCUGGUGAAGGAAAAAAAUAUGAGUAUGGAAAUUCAGAUUCAUUGAACUUUACAUGUCUGGCAAUAUAAGUUUUGCCAGUGGAAUCAAGACACUUAUAACCUUUGUGAAUAGGACUAUAACCAAUCAUGAGACAUUUUUGUGUAUGAAAGUUAAACUUGUGUUUACUGUAAGGUCUUAAAAAAGGAAAGCAUGAACAACCAAAGGUUUUAAGGAAAUGAUAAUCAGGUUUUCGACCAUAGAACUUGGUGUAAGGAGAAAUGUUAUUCAAUACAGGUGUAGGCAGCCUAUUGAUAAGAAAAGAAGCUGUAUGAAAAGAUUCUCACAAAAAAGAUAAGGGCAUUUUUGCUUGAGCAAGUAAAGUCAGCCCUAUUUCUACAAUAUGUCGGUGCUUCCUUUCUACCACCCUAUUUUGGUGAUGUGUAUGAGGACAACUAUGUCUAAACUAUAUACCUUCUUCUUGAAGAAAAUGUUCAAAAUUUCUGUAUUCACCUCCCCAGUCAGACUGCAGUGACUUUAAAAGAUAAUUAAAUUAUUUUUUAACUAGAGUUUUGAAGUAUUUGAAAGUAGCUAAGGCUUCUGAUUUAAGGGUUAAAGGGAAAAUCCAACAGUACCUAUUAUAAUCAUCUACAAAACUAAUGUAGUAUCUAUAGCCUUGUAGUGAAGGAAUGGGUGCUGGACCCCAGAGAUCAGUAUGAAUAAGCUCUAAAAGAGCUUUUGUUUUGAUUCCUGUUGAGUAAAAAGGGAACUGAUGGAUUUUAUCAUAUUGGCAAGCAUAACAAAAAUCAGGUAUUGAUAUUGAACAAGGAAGGGAAAUAGAAGAUAGAAUACAUUUCAACACAUAUUUACUUGGAUGACCAAACCUUUGAUGCAACAAAUUUGUAGACAAAAUAGUGUUUUUAUGACACUGAUGAGUUUUGUUUUGAGUACAUGUCUUAUUUGUAGCUUCAUCUAAGAGAUUACAAGCUGAAUUAUUCAAAACAGAAAGCAUAGAACUAGGAAUGUGAGAAGAACUGUGAGGACUGGAAAUGAAAUCCUUUUUAGACAGUAAAUGAUAUAGCCCUCCUCUAGCAAUCCCGUGAGUAAGAUGCACUCUCUUCUUCUGGUCUUUGAUAAAACACAUAUUGGCAACAAAUUCAAUGGUUAAGUUGUUAUCUUCAAGUAACUUUGAGAUGGUUAAGUGUAAGAUUGAGUUUAAUGAUGUAUGAAGACCAGUGUAACCAACAUGUGAUAUAUGCAGCCCUUGACCAUUACCAACAUGCAGCAGAUGAUUACCUGAGUAUUCCUUUGCAAGACUCAAAUUCUGUAAAUUGUUGGUGAGGUGAUGAGUUGCACCACUGUCUAUGUACCAUCAUUGAUCAGUAAAAUCACCUUCAGAGGCAGCCACAAAAGCAGCUCUGGGUGCUGAAUUCACAUAAGAAGACCUUGGUACUGGAUAUUGAUAUGAGUUGUAUCCUGAUGGUGAAUUGAAAGGAAUGAACUCUCUAUUGAACCUGUUUCUACACUCAGCUGCAGUGUGCUCAAGUUUGAAACAGAUUUGACAAAUUACUCCAGCAAAGUUAGGAUCAGAACUACCUUUCCCAUUACCAUUGUAAAAACCACCAGAUUUUGCAAAAUUUCCAUUUCCAGAACCAAAACCACCUAUGCUUUGAUAGUUCCCAUAUGGUGCUCCAUUCCAGGCAUUCUUCCAAUUACCAUUCCAAUUUCCUCUUACUUGACCUUGUGGAAAACCUCUACCAAAAUCUCCUCUGCCUCUAUUAUUAUUACCAUUACCAUUUUGAUUUUGUUCCAAUUAGCAUUAUACUGUCCAGUUUGAGCAACAUUAGCAGCAAAGUUCAUUUUAGCUUCUUUACUAGAGCUCAAUUGAUUAGCAUCCAAUCUAGCCUCAUGAGUCAGAAGCAUAGAAUAGGCUUCAUUUAUAGUCGUUUUAGCAAGAUUUGCCCCAAUAUAUACUACCACAGGAUAAUAAGGUUGUCCUAAUCCAGAGAUCAAAUGAGUAAGAAAAUCUAGAGAGCUAACAUGACUACCAGCCACAACAAGUUCAUCUGUAGUUGUCUUUAGCUUGUUAAAAAAUUCAGUCAUGGACAUAGCACCUUUUCUAAGAUUAUUAAGCAUAAUUUUCAUAUGUACUUUUUUAGCAAAGGAUUCAGAUCCAAACUGUUGUUCAAGACUAGUCCAGAGUUCAAGAGAGGAGUUAGAAUUUACCACAAGACUAAGAAUCUCUAGAUUGAUAAAAGACAUUAGCCAACUCAGCAGCAUAUGAUCUUUUCGUUUCCAGACAACAAAAGCUGGAUUCUCUCGAGCUCUUUCAGCAGCAGUGAUCUCAGUUGCAUCAGAAUCAGAAUUUAUAACUCCAUCAGAUGAAAAUUGAUUUGGACAAAGUUUUGAGCUGUCGCGAAAAUCUUCAAGGCCAUUAGCACGAACUGAAGUGAGAACUUGAGAUUUCCAUAAUGUAUAAUUUGUUCGAUCAAGUUUGAUUGGUGAGGUAAAUGUAAACGAAGAUGUUGUGUUUGGAUUUGAGUUGAAAGCAGCCAUGAGAUUUGGCUCUGAUACCAAGUCAAGAAUGAUGAGUUUGUUUGUUUACUAAGAAAAUGACAAGAAAAAUCAGAGAAACAGAGAAGAGAAAACUUGUAUUUUAUUCAUUGUAUAUUUCGAUUAGUUACAAACGUUUAUAUACUAUGAUCUAGAAUCUUCUUCAUUCUGUUUAGACAUGCUAGAUUAGCUGAGCUAGUAACUGAAACUAACUUGCCACAUAAGCAGCCACGUCAGCAUGUAUAACAGACUCUGUUUAACUAACAAUAUUAAUCAGCAUGUGAUUAAUUAAUUAUCUUAACAAUAAUGACCUGCUAUCAUAGCAGUUGUAAAUAUCUCUAUGACCUGGUUGGGCAUGUACUUCAUAGAAUAAAAAAUGUAAUAAUAUAAGUCUCAGGUAUAUAAUGACCUGCUGUCAUAGCAGUUGUAAAUAUCUCUAUGACCUGCUGUCAUAGCAAUUGUAAAUAUCUCUGUGUAAUACACUAACUUGAUGUUUAAUCAGUUAAAAAAAAAAAACUCUGAGGUGGAAAUUUUCUUCAUUAUAUUACCCCCACAUUGAAAAGUAAUCACAAAAAAUCAGGUCAAUGGCUUCAUUUAACUUAUUCUUUAUUAUUGUUUUAUGCAAAUGUCAUGGAGGACUACUCUCUGUGGGGUUGCCAUUGACUUAAAUAAAAUGCUUUUAAGCCAUACAAAAAUGAAUGGCUAUCUUUAAUAUUACACUAAAAAACAUCUCUCUUUCUCUGUUAAUCCAUGUCACUUUUUCUGAGUUCAAUAAUCUUCUUCCUUCUCUUCCUUACACAGAAGCCAAAACUUCAGAAGGAAACAACGAUACAAAUAUUUAUGAACGUUGUCAACCAACAAAAUGAAACAUACCAUAUCAGAUUCCCCCUUUAGAAUCAAAUUUAAAUGAUUAAGAUUGCUGAUGAUAACACAGACCCUACUAAGUUUAAUAAAUGAUUACAAUUUACACACACACUCUUUAUAUUAUUAUACCUUUUAUUUGAACAACCAAAUGUACUUUAUAAUAACUACUAAUAUAACAUUGAAACAAAAACAAAUGUAAUAAAUAAAAUUAUCAUAUAUUUUAUAUAUCAAAGCAUGUUCUGUGUUCUCAUAAAAAAAAAAGAAUUAUUGUCUUUGAGUUUGCGGUGAGAAAUUAAAGUAGCGAGUGAAAGAUGUUGACUGGAUUGUUGCAUGCGUGGAAAUUGUUACAAAAUUUUUGUCUCAAUUUGAAGGUUACUAAGAAAUUUCAGGUCAAGCUAGGGUUAUCAUCACCGACGCAAACUUGCAAUCAAAACGUUUACUAAGAGUUGACUGACUUGUAAGAGUGUCUGGUGUCCCCUCUCACAUGGAUGCUAAAAGUCUUGUGCUCAAACAAAUUCAAUUAAUAUGCUCUUUUAAACUUUUUCAAUUUCCCCACCUUUGUUUAUUAUUUUUAAAAAAAUUAAGAUAAUACUACUUUUGAACGAUUAAUUAUUGCUAUAUCAUCUUCAGCUAGUAGAAUCAGAUAGUUGAAUGCUAUAAUAAAUUUACUAUAUACACGUGCUCGUUGUUAAGUGAUGAUGUAAAUACGUAUCGAAAACUUUGAAAAUGCAACCUUCUGUUUAAUUUACUGAAAUUCAUUGUAUCCUGGGAUUGCAUUAACAAUGAGUGGGGAAGAAUCAUCAAUUCUCCCAACUCUUCUGUUUUGUCUAUUGAUCUAUCUACUCACCACUGAAAUUGAAGCAAGAGAAGUACUUCCACAAAUCUAUUUUUCUUCUUGUGGAGAUAUAAAAAACAUAAGCUACCCUUUUCGCCUAAAGGGAGAUCCAUCGAGAUGCGGUUAUCCUGAGUUUGAACUGUCUUGCCAGAGCAACCAAACCAUCCUAGAAUUAUUCAAUUAUGCAAAGUACUAUGUAAAGAGAAUUUCCUAUGACGAAAGCACAAUCAGUGUUGCCGAUGUUAACUUGGCCAAUGGAAGCUGUGGCCUUCCAUACACAUCUUUUCCCAUAGAAAUCUUUCGUAUGCGUUACACCGGUUGCUAUUUUUUUUAAACCGAUCGGGUUUAUGCACUUGAUUAUUAUAAAUACCUGUACCCCUAUUUCGUGAAUUGCUAGACGGAUCUCAUUGAUGAGGCUUUUAUAAGAGUUCCAUGUUUGAGUGGAGGAAAUCAGUCGAAUGCUUAUGUUAAUUACCAUGGCUCCUAUGUAUCAGAUUUUUUAGUCAUGCUCGUUCGUUUCAAUGGUUCCUAUACAUAAUGGGAAUGUGGAAAAUCCUUCUUAUGAAACCCUCCGAGAAUUACUGGAGACAGGAUUCGAUCUUAGAUGGUCAAUUGGAUGCAGGAAUUGUUAUGCAGCCGGUAGAGGAUGCAUUAGUACUGUUAGAGCAGGAAAAUUUGAUUGCUUUGAUCAUAGCCCAAUUACAAACCAUAAGUUUAUGAUUAUAUAUGCAUACAAAUAAAUGGAGACCUUUUAUUUAUAAUUUUCAAUCUUAAUCUUUGACGUAUUUAAGAAUUUGCGAAUCAUCUCUAAAAGAGUCUGUUUACCAGUGUGACCCUUAAUCUCUGUUUCUUUUGAACUUUUGCAGUCUUUGCUGAAUGCCACAUCGUAGAAGUAGUAUUCGGAAAAUUUAUUUGCUACCAAGAACUUUUGACACGUAAUAAGCCUAUUGUUGCGGACCGCCCAAGUUGCUAGUCCAAUUGCCCACAAUUUCGAGCUGGAGAGCCCAAGAUAAAGCCAAGAGUGCUAGCUUGGCCCGAUUUCGGAAAAAUUAUAGGAAACUCUAGCACAUUUAAGCUUGUAAAUAUCUAGAAUACUCCACACGUUUCCAGUACAUGUAAUUGUCUAGAUAGUUGGUAAAAUUCUCUAGAAUCUCUCUCCUAUAAAUAGGGCAUGACAUUUGACAUUUGAGCAACAAGCUUAGAGCAAGCAACUCAAACACUUGUAAGCUCUCUUGUAAUCUCUCUUGAAAGCAAUACAAUUUCUCUUAUUCGGCUCUAUUGCUCUCUUCCCUCUAACUCUUCGAAAACCUCUAGGCUUAACUAGUCGAGAAACUCAAGACUUACUUAGCAACAUUCGGCAAAGGUUGUCUAAGUGCCGCACGGGUUUGUUGCGCAAAACACUCAUCCCGUGACAAGUAGUAUCAGAGCUAUGGUUUGCACCUACGCAAGUUAGCUCACGAGCAAUGGCCAACCCUCCAAAUCCAGUGCAAGAGGGCGUUAUUGGUGUUGACGUUCCGCCGGAACCAAGCCGCAGCCGUGAGGGAGAUCGCGCCCAAGGCAAACGCAGCAAGUCUAAGGCCACAUCCAUGGAUGCGUUGGAGCCUCGUGUAGCCACUCUCGAAACUGCCUUGUCCAUCGCUCAAGACAACCUUGACGGAUUAGAGGAAAGAGUGGACGGUCUCGAGGGAGAAUACGCCGAGUUCACUGUGGCAACAAAAGCCCACAUCCAAGAGCAAGCAAACACUCUCCAGGUGAGUUUUGAUCCUUUCAUGAUGAGUUACUAAAACUUCAUAGCUUUGUUCAGGAUGAACUACGCAUUGUCCGUGCGGAAGUGGAGGAAGUCCGCUCGGAUUAGGCAUGGCACGAGCGCACACUCUCCGCUAGUCCAGCUUCCGCAAGCACGAGUGAUGCGUGAUGCAUUGAUGUGCCUUUUCAAGCCAUAUCACGGAGAUGUGGAAGACCCAAUUCGCGGAGAAUCGAGGCGUACGCCAACCCCGUUGCUAUCGUGUUCGACAAAGAUGUGGACUACAUCAUUGCGGACCACAUAGUUCGGAGAAGAGGCGUGCCACCAUACAACGAGUACUUGGUGAAGUGAAAAAACCUCCCCGAGAGUGAAGCCACUUGGGAACGCGAAGAUGAUUUAUGGCAAUUCGCUGAACACAUCCAGAAUUUCAAGCACGAAAGCGCGACAAGGAUGCCGCGAGCUUAGGUGGGGGAGGAUGUUGCGGACCGCCUAAGUUACUAGCCCAAUUGCCCACAAUUUCGGGCUAGAGAGCCCAAAACAAGGCCAAGAGUGCUAGCUUGGCCUGAUUCUAAAAAAUUCCAGGCAACUUUAGCACAUUUAAGCUUGUAAAUAUCUAGAAUACUCCACAUAUUUCCAGCACAUGCAAUUAUCUAGAUAGUUGGUAGAAUUCUCUAGAAUCUCUAGAGCUUGGCAAGCCUCCCCUAUAAAUAAGCAUGACAUUUGACAUUUGAGCAACAAGCUUAGAGCAAGCAACUUAAACACUUGUAAACUCUCUUGUAAUCUCUCUUGUAAGCAAUACAAUUUCUCUUAUUCGGCUCCAUUGCUCUAUUCUCUCUAGUUUUUUGAAAACCUCUAGGCUUAGCUAGUUGAGAAGCUUAAGGCUUAUUAAACAACAGUCAGCAAAGGUUGUCUAAGUGCCGCACGGGUUCGUUGCGCAAAACACUCAUCCCGUGACACUAUGCUUACAUAUUUUAAACUUUGCGAUUGUGUUUUUUGGUGUUAAAUUGAUGGCAUCAUGUGAUUUAUUUAUUUAUUUUCCAAUCUUGUACUUAAUAACUUUUUUAUGAAUCAUCUCUCUUGAGUAUGAAUAUGUAAAGCCUAAUCUUUUUUCCUCGGCUUGCAGUUUACUACAAACUCCUGCCACCUUAUGACGGCCUCGAAUUGUUACUGUUAAGUAUGAUUUCCUGGCUGGAAUUCAUGUUCUUGUUAUUUCGAGUCAGCUACUUACCUAGAAUUAAACUUUCUUGUUUCCAGACGGUGCAUUCGUGUAUCUUAUAAAUACUAGGUUCAUCAUUGGUUCAACAGUUUUACUUUGUGAUCCUUAUCCACAAAUAUAGGCGACACUAAAAACAGUUGAUAAUAUUGAGAAAUUUCUACGCAACUAGCAAUCGUGGAUGCCUAAAAAGUACUCUUACCUUGAGAUGAUUGCCAUGUCAAACCACUGCACUCAUAAAUUAGGCCAAGGUGGCUUUGGUUCCAUUUAUAAAGGACAACUUCAUAUUGGUCACUUGAUUGUUGUGAAGUUGCUGGAGAACUCCAAGUUCAGUGCGGAGUAAUUCAUCAAUGAAGUUUCAACGAUUGGUAAAAUUCAUCACGUUAAUGUAGUCCAGUUAUUGGGGUUUUAUUCUGAGGGAUCCAAACGUGCACUUAUCUAUGAGUUUAUGCCUAAUAGAUCACUUGAGAGGCAUAUCUUUUCCAAGGAAAGUAAAGGCCAAACUUUUAGGUUAUGUUUGGUUUGAAGGAAAGGGAAAAGAGGAAAAUAGUGGAAUAGAGAGGAAGGAAAAAGAAAGGAGUGGAGAAGAAUAGUAAAAUUAAAUUUUAUUGUUUGAUUUGAUAUAAAAUUUGAUAAGAAAAGAAAUUUUAUUUAUUUUUAGAUAAAUAUAUCUUUUAUCUUAAAUUUUAAAAUAUUUAUAUCAUAUAUAUAUAUAUAUAUAUAUAUAUAUAUAUAUAUAUAAAACGGCCGUCCGGUGGCUUUCUGCUUCUUUGGAAGUGAAUCAGACUAGAAGGUAAAAAAAGGAACAAAAAAAUUGAAACAGCUCAUGACUUUGUGCUUCUUUAUGGACUGUAACUGCCUUAAUGAAUAGCCCAAGUCAUUAGUGGGCUUUUAAUUGUGCUCUUAUGAAAAGCCCAAAGCGUCCACCCUGAAGCAUGUCACAUGAGCUAGGGGUAGGCACGGUUCGGUCCGGUUCGCUUCAGAUCGAAAUUAAGCAGAACCGAUUUAAAUCGGUUAUUUUAUAAAAAUAACUAAAUAAGAACCAAACUCAAUAAAAACCGAACAUAAACGGAUCUUUUCGGAUCAGUACGGUUCGGUUCAGUUUUUUCGGUUUUGGGUUUAUUAGGCCUAUUUUGAAUUUCUAAAUUUUUAGCCCAUUAGGCCUUAUGAAUGUAAUAAUUUUUUUCAACAAUUAAUUUAUCCUAAUUUCAUUACAAAUAUUAACAAUAAAUACAAAGUAUUCAAAACACAUUUUACCACUAAUUUAUGAAAUUAUAACAUAUAUAUAUAUAUAUAUAUAUACCCGAAAUUGUGUGUGUGCAUGUCUAUUUUAGUUAUCUUAUGCAACCAAUUAAAAUUUAACACGUGUCUAUUUAAAUAAAAUUCUAAGAAUAAUCCGGUUUUUCGGUUCGAUUUUUCGAUUCAGCUGGGUGAAUCGAAUACCGAACUUGCAUUUCGGUUUUUUUACAAACCAUAUAUUUCAGUUAUUUUUUAAAAUUAAAAAUGGUUCGAACGGUACGGUUCGGAUCGGUUUGGUUCGGUUUUCUCUAGUGUACGGUUUUUUUGCCCACCCCUAACAGGAGCAGUCCAAAUUCUGAAUCUCUCUCAACUCCUCAAACGGUGUUUCAUUCUGUAUGCCGCCAUUUGCCUCAUUUCACAAUAUAGAUAUGCAUGCAUGGAGGAUAUAUAUACGAUGGGUUUAGUUGUGUAUACAUAACUUAUAAUUAUAUUAUGAGUGUAUAUGUAUAUGUAUAUGUAUGUAUGUGUGUGUCUUUGUGUGUGUGUGUGUGUGUGUGAACAAAUAAAAUAAUAAUCAAACGAAAAUUAACAAGUAGCACCUGGAAGAAGAUCAGUAGAUCACUACAGUUUUGAGGGCCAAAUGAAUCUGCACAUUGAUGACAGAAUAUAAAGAGCACAAAGAUUUAAAAUGUGUUUGAUUAAUGGCAUUUUAAUUUAUGUGUUCUCUAUCUUCUGUCAACAAAAUUUCAGAAAAUUAGCGCCCUCCACUUGAAUCAUAACAAACACAUGCACCAAAUAUUAAUGAGGGAAAAAAAAAUCACCAAUCGAUACGCUUUUGUCUCCACAAUAUUAAAUAGCUGCUGAAUGGCCAUGGAAGCGUGCAUAUCCACAGCGGCACGAAAUUAAAGUACUUGAUAAAUUGUUUACAGUAGCAAGGACUUUGAAUGCAUGAUGCCAAUUAAAUGGUUGCGGGCUUAAAAGCAUUAAUUUAUGAAGUGCUUCGCUCUUUUAGGCUGGCGAGAAAUCGAGUCUACACUACUUUCCCUCUUUUUCUUGUUUGCCUUUCGCAAUAGAUACAUUAUUAUAUUGUUUUUUUAGCACAUUUUCAAUGAGACUACUAUUCCCAUAUCGGCUACCAAGUUAAUCAUUUGAUCAAUAUUUUUAUUUUAUGGAUUUGAAUUCGACAUUUGAUCAAUAUUUUACAUCAAUAUAUACAUUAUACUAAUGAAGUUGCGACAUUUGAAAUGAGCGAUUAUUUCAUUAAAGCCAUUUACGGCAGAACUACAUACCACAUGAAACACAACAGAACUCGUUACAAUGUCACAAAAUUAAUACGAAAACAUUUGAUGGAGAGGAAAUCUAUGCAGAAGUGAUUUGCCUUCAUAAAAUAUCAUAGUGACACUUUUGACUCUUGACGGCAAAGAAGUCUGCUCAUAGAACCAAUCUUGAAUCGGAAAUGGAGAGUUUUAAAAAUCACAUGAAAAAUUAGCUUACGAAGACACAUCAAUGUUGCACCAAGCAUAAGAUUCAAGUCUCCUUAGCUCGAAUCUGUUGUGUGUAACUUAAGUGGAAAUAUCAAGACAUAUUGAUUUUUUUUUCCAUUUACGCCUAACUAGUAUUAUAUCGUUGGUCUAACUUUUUCUAUCUAUAUCCUGUGUGUGAUGAAUAACAUAUAAAUUGAUCUAAUUUUUUGUCAUAAAUUAUACCAUUUGUACUCUAAUCUACUUGAGAUUAACGAACGUCGUAUAUGAUUAAAAAUAAUUAUUAAUUUCAUCUCUUUUGUUAUUCUAAAAAUCUAUCAUAUGCUGUCAUAUACUAGAUCAAACUAUGUAUUCAACCGUUAAUUUUUCAAUAUUAUUAUUUUUAUAUAUUUACUUGUUUCCAUAAUCACAGUCUAAUGAUUUAUGUUUUUUUUUUUAGACUUUGGUGGUCUCAAUAUGAAGCCCAACUCAUAUUGGGUAUUUCAAGUUUAAAUCAUUAAAAAGCCUAAUUUGUCCCCAAUGCGCAAGGAUAGACUAAUAUCUUCGUGGCCUUUUUUGACAUAAUUGAUUUGUCAAAAGUGUGUAUGUAUAUAUAGACACACGCGCACACACAUAUACAUAUUAUCAUGUCUUUAAAAACGUGAAUUUACUAAUAUACUGUAUAUUAGAUAAUUCAAAAAAGUUAAUAAAAACACUAAUGCACUAAAUGGCAUAUUAGUGCCAUCACACAAGCCUACAACAUAAAAACUUAUCAUACAUUAUAUAUUACACAAUUGUGCACACUUGAUCAUAAUUUUAAAUAUAUGUCUUUAUUUAUUCAUAAUAAUAAUAAUUAUUAUUAUUACAAUAAUAAUUACAACAGCAACCAUAAUUUUUAGAAACGCGUGAACUUGACAUGAGAAGUCCUCAUUCUUCUGCAUAUCGGUCGCUUUAAAAGUGUUGGUCGUCGGGGCCGUUCCAAAUUUCCAAUACCGCGUUUCUCCAAAUCAUGUUAAAAUAAAUAAUAAUAAUAAUAAAUAAAGUAAGCCACUGCGUUUGGUGGUGAGAAAAAUUAAGAAAGCGAAAGAUAUUGACUGGAAUUGGACUGCAUGGAAACUGUUUCAAUAAGUUCUGUCGCUUUUAAUAUUGAAGAACGUUUACUAAGAAAUUUGAGGUCAAGAUUGGAUGGGGAUGGAUGGAUCAUCCCAUUCCCACCGAUGCUAACUCAUUUACAAUUACCAGGAAAUUAAGCGACUUCACUUUGCCGUAUUGACUUCCCCAUUGAAAUCUGAAAGCUUCCACCUAAACAAAUCGUGGAAAGAGACUUCAGAAGCUGUGUGGCAUCGGCAUACAUAAUUUACAGUAAGAAACGAAAUUGAACAUGUUUAUCUAGAUUUGUCCCUUUAUCUUCCAUUCCAUUGCAUUAAUGCUUGAAGCCUAGCACUCAGUAAUUAAAAAUUUUCUUCCAUCGGGUCGAUUUCAUUUUAUGAAUAAUUAAUAUUAUUUUUAAACAAAUUAUUUAGCGCUAAUUAAUUCAAUCACAUAGUUGUAUACUAAACUAUGAUAAGUUUAAAGCCCGCCUCUCACCGUGCAAGUGAAACUGUAGAAAACAUAGCGCAUUAACACUUUUAUACCGUUCUGCUUAGUUUAUUCAAAUUCGUUAAUUGUAUCCUGGAAUUGGAGGAGCAAUGAGUAGUGACGAAGCUUCAAUUUUCUCAACUUUUCUGUUUUGUCUGUUGAUGUUUGUAUUCAGCCCCAGAGAAAUUGAAGCAAGAAAACUUGAAGUACAAAUGUGUUCUUCUUCUUGUGGAGAUGUCAAAAACAUAAGCUACCCUUUUCGCCUCAAGGGCGAUCCAGCUGGAUGCGGUCAUCCGAAGUUAGAACUUUCUUGCGAGAGCAACAAAACCAUCUUAGAAUUCAAUUCUGGAAAGUACUAUGUGAACAGUAUUUCCUAUGAUAAACGUACAAUCAGUGUUGUCGAUGUUAACUUAGCCAAUGGAAGCUGCAGCUUGCCGUCCAAUUCUGAUCCCCGAUCUUAUGAUGACAUUUUCGGAUAUCGUUUUUAUUAUCUUGGUGAUUCAAGGGCCUAUUAUGUGAAUUGCUCGGGUAAUAUUGUUGAUCAGGCGUAUGAGAAAGUUCCAUGUUUGAGUAACAAUCAGUCGAACGUUUACGUUUAUGUUGGAUAUGCUGGCAUCAACACCAGCAUAUCAGAUCUUCCAGAGUCAUGCGUCUUCAUUUCAAAGGUUCCUGUAGUACUUAAUGGGAGUGUGGACAAUCCUUCUUAUGAAGACCUCCGAAAAUUGCUGGAAUCAGGGUUCGAUCUUAGGUGGUACCAGCCAAUUACUGACUGUAAGCUUAUGCUUAUAUUUAUUUAUGCCUUCAAAUGCAAGCGCUUUGUUUUUGUUUCCCAAUAUCGCACGCAAUAAAGAAUUUGUGAACUAUCUCUAAGAGCAUAUCGAUAUGACCCCUAAUUUCUGUUUCUUUUCACUUUUGUAACAGUUUGCGGCCACAAUGCAGGAGUAGUGGCAAAAAUUAUAUGCUACCCAUAUUAUAUACGUAAGCAUAUCCUUAUAUAUCUUUUUGAUCAUGUGUUUUCGACGUUAAUAAAUGCGAUGGCUUCAUAUAUUCUCUAAUCUUUUACUCUAUAAUUUUUUUCUGAAUCAUCUCUCUGAUUAGGAUAAAGCUUUUUUUUUUUUUUCCCCCGCUCUCCAAUUGCAGUUAACGACGAAAUUUACCUAGCAAUCUCUUGGCCUUUCGUAAUGCACUCAUCAGGAAUGCGGGAUUGGAUAAGUUUUCUGUUAGGUAAAAUCUCCUCUCCAGGAUCCUCUUUUUAUUGCUUUGUUUACUACUAUUUACUUUCAAAUAACGUUCUCCUUGCCAGGGUUUCCACUCGAUGUUCUGAAUGUUCUGAUAAUUGGUAGAUUUAUUCUUGCUCCAAUAGUCUUUGUCGUGUUCCUUAUCCAAAAAUACAGAAAAUCAUUGAAGAGAGUUGAUAAUGUGGAGAAAUUUCUGCACAAUCAGCAAUCGUGGAUGCCUAAAAGGUACUCUUACCCGGAGAUAAUUGCCGUGACAAACCACUUCACUCAUAAAUUAGGCCAAGGUGGCUUUGGUUCGGUUUAUAAAGGACAACUUCAUACUGGUUGCUUGAUUGCUGUUAAGAUGCUGGAGAACUCCAAGUUCAGUGCGGAGGAAUUCAUCAACGAAGUUUCAACAAUAGGUAGAAUUCACCACGUUAAUGUGGUCCAGUUAUUGGGGUUCUGUUCUGAGGGAUCCAAACGCGCACUUGUCUACGAGUUUAUGCCUAAUGGAUCACUCGACAGGCAUAUCUUUCCUAAGGAAAGUAGAGGCCAAUCUUUUAGUUGGGAGAAACUCCACGAAGUUGCUUUAGGAACUGCCCGUGGGAUCGAGUAUUUACACAACGGAUGUGAUGUCUGCAUUCUUCAUUUCGACAUUAAGCCUCACAACAUCCUGCUAGAUCAUAAUUUCAUCCCAAAGGUCUCAGAUUUCGGCCUUGCAAAGUUUCAUCCCAAGGAAAAUGAUUUUGUGUCCAUCAGUGCCACAAGAGGAACCAUAGGAUACAUAGCACCUGAGCUGAUUUCAAGGAAUUUUGGAACUGUUUCUUGCAAGUCAGAUGUUUACGGUUUUGGAAUGGUGUUGUUGGAAAUGGCUGGAGGAAGAAGGAAUUCUAAUAUGAAUGCAACUCGUUCAAGCAAAGCAUAUUUCCCAUCUUGGGUAUUUGACCAAUUAAAUAAGGGAGGUGAUUUAGAGCUUCAGAAUGUUACUGAAAUUGAAUCCAUGAUAGCAAGGAAACUGUGUAUGAUUGGUUUGUGGGGUAUUCAGGUGAAGGCAGCAGAUCGCCCCUCUAUGACAAAAGUUUUGGAGAUGUUAGAAGGGAGUAUUGACGAUUUGCAAAUGCCUCCUAGACCUUUCUUCUCUUCUUCUCGACAUAUCUCCGGAACUGGAAGAGAGAUUGAAUCAGAUUCUUCAGCAGAGUUGUUAGUUUCUGAAUCAAUGGAGGAAUGUUCUUUCAAUGAUAGUUAUGUUUAAUUUUUGCCAAGGAUGAAUGUAAAAUAAAUAAAUAAAUAAUAGAUUGCAAUGACAAACGUUCUCUAUCUUCUUCUUGUUUUAUCUCGCAUUGAAACUUAAUGCAUAUAUUUGUGAGUGCAAGCUAGUUUAGUAGUUGAAAUCUCCUACUCAUAUAGGUGGCAAUAUGAUUUAAUUAGACGUGCGCUAUGCUUUAAAAAGAAAAUAAAAGUCUCUCGCAUUGAUUACAAACACUGGAUAGGAGUUGGAAAUUUUAUUCUAUAUUUUUAUCACACAUUGAAAAUUGAUCACAAAAAAACCAAGUCUACACCUUCAUUCAACCUAUUCUUGUAAUUGCUGUCCACAAAUGUCAUGGAGGACUAGUCUCUUGUGGGGCUGCCAUUGACUUAAAUAAAAUGCAUUUUAGCCAUCCAAAUUCCAAAAAUGAGUGUCAUUUGCUCUUUCACAUUAAGAAAUAUAUCCUCAACCAAGAAGGAAGAGUGAUUAAUAUUAGACGAAAAAGCAUCCCUAUUUCUCAUUUUCUCCAUGUCACCUGUGCUUAGUUUAAUUCUCUUCCUUCUCUUUCCUUACACAGAAGCCAAAACUUCAGAAGGAAACAAUGAUACAAAUAUUUAUGAAUUUUGUCAGCCAACAACAUGCAGCACGAAGGGACCAAAUAUCAGAUUUCCCUUUAGACUCAAAACUCAACCUAUCUCUUGCGGUCUUGAAGGGUUUGAAUUAUCAUGCUUAAACACCAAGACAAUGUUGCACCUUCCUUCCUCUGGCGAUUAUUAUGUGCAGGACAUUUCUUAUCUUCACAGCAGAAUUACCAUUAUGGAUGUACAUGAGUCCACAUGCCCUUUAAAAACCAGCCGAGCGGCUUUGUCAAAUUAUAGAUUGACCUAAAAGGGGAGAGCUUAAAUUAAAUAUUUGAAUCUUAUUCUGAUUUUUUAAAAAUAAUUUAUAAGAGUUCAUAAAAAAAAGUUGUAAAUGUGUAAUUUAGAUAAAUAUGAAUACCCAAAUAAAAUUGGGCAAACUUUUAUUUUUCAUGAUGCUUUUUUUUUCCUUUAAAACCAAAAUAAAUUUAGGAUUCAUUUAUGUUUUAAUCACAUGCUUGUUUCAAAAUUUUACUUUCUUACAACGUUUUAUGAUUUUUUUUUUAAAUGUGCUCGCAUAUUUGUUAAAUUUAAGAAUUAAAGUCCAUGAUAUUAUAUUCAUCUUUAAGUUUCUCGAACAACUACUUCGGAAGUGAAUCAGACUAGAAGGAAAAAAAUGAACAAAAAAACGGAACAGUUCAUGGCUUUAUGCUUCUUUAUGGACUGUGGUUGCCUCAAUGAAUAGCCCAAGUGAUUAUUGGGCUUUUAAUUCGGCUCCUAUGAAAAGCCCAAAGCGUCCACGAUGAAGCAGGUCACAAGAGCAGUCCCAAUUCUGAAUCUCUCUCAACUCCUCAAGCGGGGUUUCAUUUUGAAUGCCGCCAUUGGCCUCAUUUCACAAUAUAGGUGUGCAUGCAUGGAGGAUAUAUAUACACUAGGUGUAGUUUUGUAUAUAUAACUUAUAAAGUUAUAAUUAUAUUAUGAGUAUAUCUGUCUAUGUAUGUAUGUAUGUACAUAUGAACAAAUAAAAUAAUAAUUAUACAAAAAUUAACAGGUAGCACCUGGAAAAAGAUCAAUAGAUCACUUCAGUUUUAAGGGCCAAAUGAAGCUGCACGUUGAUGACGAAAUACAGAGAGCUCAAAGAUUUAAAAUGCAUUUGAUUAAUGGCAUUUUAAUUUAUGUGUUCUCUAUCUUCUGUCAACAAAAUUUCAAAAAAUUAGUGCCCUCUACUUCAAUCAGACCAAACACAUGCACCAAAUAUUUAUGAAGUGCUUCCUCCUUUUAGGCUAGAGAGAAAUCAAGUCUACAUUACUUUCCCUCAUUUUCUUUUUCGCCUUUUGCAAUAGAUACGUUAUUUUAUUGUUUUUUUAGCACAUUUUCAAUGAGACUACUAUUCCCAUAUCGGCUGCCAAGUUAAAUAGUUAAUCAUUUGAUCAAUAUUUUACUUUAUGGAUUUGAGUUCGACAUGACAGAUAUUAGAAACCAGUGGGAUACAACAUGACCAACUUUUACAUCAAUACAUACAUUCUACUAAUGCGGCUGUGACAUUUGAAAUAAGCGAUCAUUCGAUUAAAUCCAUUUACGGCAGAACUACAUACCGCAUGAAACGCAACAGGACUCGUUCCAAUGUCACAAAAUUAAUACGAAAACAUUUGAUAGAGAGGAAAUCUCUGCACAAGUGAAUUGCCUUCAUAAAAUAUCAUAGUGGCACUUUGACUCUUGACGGCAAAGAGGGCUGCUCAUAGAACCAAUCUUGAAUCGGAAAUGGAGAGUUCUAAAAACCACAUGAAAAAUGAGCUUACGAAGACACAUCAAAAUGUUGCACCAAGCAUAAGAUUCAAGAUAUCCUUAGCUCGAAUCUGUUGUAUGUAAGUUAAGUGGAAAUAUCUAGACACAUUGAUUUUCUUCCCCUCUGCGCCUAACUAGUAUUAUAUCGUUGGUCUAACUUUUUCCAUCUAUAUCCUGUGUGUGAUGAAUAACAUAUAAAUUGAUCUAAAUUUUGGUCAUAAACUGUACCAUUUGUACUCUAAUCCACUUGAGAUUAAUGAACAUCGUAUAUGAUUAAAAAAUUAUUAAUUUCAUCUCUUUUGUUAUUCUAAUAAUCUAUUAUAUGAUGUUAUAUCACAUGAUCAAACUAUGUAUUCGACUGUUAAUUUUUCAAUAUUAUUUUAUUAUAUAUUUACUUGUUUCCAUAAUCACAGUCUAAUUAAUGAUUUAUGUUUUUUUUUUUUUUAGACUUUGGGGGUCUCCAUACGAAGCCCAACUCAUAUUGGGCAUUUGAAGUUUAAAUCAUUAAAAAGCUCAAUUAGUCCCCAAUGCACAAGGAUAGACUAAUAUCCUCAUGGCAUUUUUUGACGUAAUUGAUUUGUCAAAAGUGUGUGUGUAUAUAUAGACACACACGCACGCACACACAUAUAUAUUGUUAUGCGUGGAUUUUUGCAUAUUUUAACACAUGAAUUUACUAAUAUACUGUAUAUUAAUUAAUUGAAAAAAAUUAAUAAAAACACUAAUGGUAUAUUAGUGCCGUCACACACGCCUACAACAUAAAAACUUAUCAUGCAUUAUAUAGAAUGCAAUUGUGCACACCGGAUCAUAAUUUUAAUUAUAUAUAUCUUUCUUUAUUCAUAAAAAUAAUAAUAAUAACAACAAUAAUAAUUACAACAGCAACCAUAAUUUUUAGAAACGCGUAAACUUGACAUGAGAAGUCCUCAGUCUUCUGCGUGUCGGUCGCUUUAAAAGUGUUGGUCGUCGGGGGCCGUUCCAAAUUUCCAAUGCCGCGUUUCUCCAAUCCUGUUAAAAUAAACAAAUAAAUAAAGUAAGCCAUUGCGUUUGGUGGUGAGAAAAAUUAAGAAAGCGAAAUAUAUAGACUGGAAUUGGACUGCAUGCAUGGAAACUGUUUCCAGUAAGUUCUAUCGGUUUUAAUAUUGAAGAACGUUUACUAAGAAAUUUGAGGUCAUCCCAUUCCCAUCGAUGCUAACUCAUUUACAAUUACCAGGAAAUUAAGCGACUUCACUUUGCCGUAUUGACUUCCCCAUUGAAAUAUGAAAGCUUCCACCUAAACAAAUCGUGGAAAGAGACUUCAGAAGCUGCGUGGCAUCCGCAUACAUAAUUUAUAGUAAGAAACGAAAUUGAACAUGUUUAUCUAGAUUUGUCCCUUUAUCUUCCAUUCCAUUGCAUUAAUGCUUGAAGCCUAGCACUCAGUAAUUAAAAAUUUUCUUCCAUCGUGUCGAUUUCAUUUUAUGAAUAAUUAAUAGUAUUUUUAAACAAAUUAUUUAGCGCUAAUUAAUUCAAUCACAUAGUUGUAUACUAAACUAUGAUAAGUUUAAAGCCCGCCUCUCACCGUGCAAGUGAAACUGUAGAAAACAUAGCACAUUAACACUUUUAUACCGUUCUGCUUAGUUUAUUCAAAUUCGUUAAUUGUAUCCUGGAAUUGGAGGAGCAAUGAGUAGUGACGAAGCUUCAAUUUUCUCAACUUUUCUGUUUUGUCUGUUGAUGUUUGUAUUCAGCCCCAGAGAAAUUGAUGCAAGAAAACUUGAAGUACAAAUGUGUUCUUCUUCUUGUGGAGAUGUCAAAAACAUAAGCUACCCUUUUCGCCUCAAGGGCGAUCCAACUGGAUGCGGCCAUCCGGAGUUAGAACUUUCUUGCGAGAGCAACAAAACCAUCCUCGAAUUCAAUUCUGGAAAGUACUAUGUGAAGAGAAUUUCAUAUGAUAAAUGUACAAUCAGUGUUGUCGAUGUUAACUUAGGCUAUGGAAGCUGCAGCUUCCCAUCCACUUCUUUUUUCCCACAUCGUCUCAGUUUCAGAUAUAGUUUUGAUUACAAUCUUAAUUCAUACGCCAAUUACGUGAAUUGCUCGAGUAAUAUUGUUGAUCAGGUGUCUGCGAAAGUUCCAUGUUUGAGUAACAAUCAGUCGAAUGUCUAUGUUUAUGUUGGAUAUGAUUCAAUCGCCACCAGUAUAUCACAUCUUCCAGACUCAUGCGCCUUCAUUUCAAAGGUUCCUGUAGUACUUAAUAGGAGCGUGGACAAACUUUCUUAUGAAGACCUCCGAAAAUCGCUGGAGUCAGGGUUUGAUCUUACAUGGUUAGAUUCGAUCAGCUGGAGCCUCUCAGUGCCUCGCUGUAAGCUUAUGCUUAUAUUUAUUUAUGCAUUCAAAUGAAAGGGCUUUGUUUUUGCUUUUCAAUAUUGUACGUAAUAAAGAAUUUGUGAACUAUCUCUAGGAGCAUACCGAUAUGACCUUUAAUUUCUGUUUCUUUCCACUUUUGUAACAGAUUGCAUCUACAAUGAAGGAGUAGGGGCAAGAAUUAUUUGCUACCCAUAUCGUAUACGUAAGCAUAUCCUUAUAAAUGCGACGGCUUCAUAUAUUUUCUAAUCUUUUACUGUAUAGUUUUUUUUUGAAUCAUCUCUCCGAUAUUGUACGUAAUAAAGAAUUUGUGAACUAUCUCUAAGAGUAUACCGAUAUGACCUUUAAUUUCUGUUUCUUUUCACUUUUGUAACAGUUUGCAUCUACAAUGUACGGGCAAAAAUGAUUUGCUACCCAUAUAAUAAACGUAAGCAUAUCCUUAUAUAUCUUUUUGAUCAUGUGUUUUCGACGCUAAAAAAUGCGACGGCUUCAUAUAUUCUCUAAUCUUUUACUCUAUAAUUUUUUUUUGAAUCAUCUCUCCGAUUAGGUAUAAAGCUUAUUUAUUUUUUUUUCCCCUCUCUCCAAUUGCAGUUUACAGUGUAAUUGAUUGGAUAAUUUCUGUGUUAGGUAAAAUCUCCUCUCCAGGAUCCUCUUUUUAUUGCUUUGCUUACUACUAUUUACUUUCAAUAAACGUUCUCUUUACCAGGGUUUCCACUCGAUGUUCUGAAUGUUCUGAUAAUUGGUAGAUUUAUUCUUGCUCCAAUAGUCUUUGUCGUGUUCCUUAUCCAAAAAUACAGAAAAUCAUUGAAGAGAGUUGAUAAUGUGGAGAAAUUUCUGCACAAUCAGCAAUCGUGGAUGCCUAAAAGGUACUCUUACCCGGAGAUAAUUGCCGUGACAAACCACUUCACUCAUAAAUUAGGCCAAGGUGGCUUUGGUUCGGUUUAUAAAGGACAACUUUAUACUGGUUGCUUGAUUGCUGUUAAGAUGCUGGAGAACUCCAAGUUCAGUGCGGAGGAAUUCAUCAACGAAGUUUCAACAAUAGGUAGAAUUCACCACGUUAAUGUGGUCCAGUUAUUGGGGUUCUGUUAUGAGGGAUCCAAACGCGCACUUGUCUACGAGUUUAUGCCUAAUGGAUCACUCGAUAGGCAAAUCUUUCCCAAGGAGAGUAGAGGCCAAUCUUUUAGUUAGGAGAAACUCCACGAAGUUGCUUUAGGAACUGCUCGUGGGAUGAGUAUUUACACAACGGAUGUGAUGUCUGCAUUCUUCAUUUCGACAUUAAGCCUCACAACAUCCUGCUAGAUCAUAAUUUCAUACCAAAGGUCUCAGAUUUCGGCCUUGCAAAGUUUCAUCCCAAGGAAAAUGAUUUUGUGUCCCUCAUUGCCACAAGAGGAACCAUAGGAUACAUAGCACCUGAGCUGAUUUCAAGGAAUUUUGGAACUGUUUCUUGCAAGUCAGAUGUUUACGACUUUGGGAUGAUGUUGUUGGAAAUGGCUGGAGGAAGAAGGAAUUCUAAUAUGAAUGCAACUCGUUCAAGCAAAGCAUAUUUCCCAUCUUGGGUAUAUGACCAAUUAAAUAAGGGAGGUGAUUUAGAGCUUCGGAAUGUGACUGAAAUCGAGUCCGUGAUUGCAAGGAAACUAUGUAUGAUUGGUUUAUGGUGUAUUCAGGUGAAGCCAGCUGAUCGCCCCUCUAUGACAAAAGUAUUGGAAAUGUUAGAAGGGAGUAUCGACGAUUUGUAAAUUCCUCCGAAACCUUUCUUCUCUUCUUCUCGACAUAUCUCUGGAACUGGAAGAGAGAUUGAAUCAGAUUAUUCAGCAGAGUUGUUAGUGUCUGAAUCGAUUGAGGAAUGUUCUUUCAAUGAUAGUUAUGCUUAGUUUUGGCAAUGAUAUGUGUAAAAAAGAAAUAAAUUGUCCUUAUGCUACCAGAGCUUCUAUAACAUUAUGUUGAAAAAUUUCAGUACGAUUCAUUGUUUGAUGUGAAUAUUCCAAUUUUGCUCGUAUCGACUAGAAUAUGAUGUAGGUUUGCCAUGUGAUAAUGUACAUUCGUCAAACUAUUGAAACGCUGCUUGCUGCAUCUCUGAUUGAGCUAGAGUAUGCUUUGAACUCUCAGCUCCGGCUGAACUUAAUUUAAAGUACAAUUACUAAAGUAUAUCGUAGACACCUAGCUAUCCCCACACAUCCACUUUUACUUAAUAGAUAAUAAUUUCAUCUCACAACAGUGGUGAAUUAAAAGGCACAUAGUUCCCAUCAAUCCUAAACACACCCUUAGUCUCACGCUGAUAUAUCAUGGUAAGCGGAGGGUAGCAGUGAGGAAUUACCCGUUUUCUAAAGAACAUUACUUUGAUCUUAAAAACAUAAUUUUCUCAUUUCUUUACCUACAAAUUACUUUCACAACUCUCACUAAAAUCUAUAUCGCAAACAGCAAGUCCCAUCCUGUUCCUCCAUGCAUCUGAUAUUGGCAGAUAUUGAAGUUGACUAGUCUCUUUGGGACUACCAUUGACUUAGACAAAGGAGAAAAGAAAAAAGGAAAGAACAGAAGAAAUUAAAAGAAAUCCAUUUUCCUAC
rnacentral:lncRNA from 1 species